AAAAAAGCUUGUCAUCUCAUGGAAUGCCACGGAAUGAUUUGAGAAGUUCAAGCUUGCUGUUUUACAAUUUCGACUGAAUAGGAAACUAUGCACACUUUGCUGGCAACUGAUACAAAAAUCUUGAAUUUCAUUGACAGAAAAGAAUGUAGUCAAAACAUAUUGAGCAAAUUUCAAAAUGGAAACGGAUUGUGAAAGUGCCCUGCAGGCCCAUACAAAAUAGAACCUGCAUAUCCCCGGACCUCAUUCUUUCUUUCUUUUAUUUUUUUUUUU
rnacentral:misc_RNA from 1 species